UUUGCAUAUCAAAUAAGCGGAGGAAAAGAAACCAACAGGGAUUGCCCCAGUAGCGGCGAGUGAAGCGGCAAGAGCUCAGAUUUGAAAUCGUGUUUCGGCACGAGUUGUAGAGUGUAGGCGGGAGUCUCUGUGGAGCGCGGUGUCCAAGUCCCUUGGAACAGGGUGCCUGAGAGGGUGAGAGCCCCGUAGGGUGCUGCGCGAAGCUUUUGAGGCCCUGCUGACGAGUCGAGUUGUUUGGGAAUGCAGCUCCAAGCGGGUGGUAAAUUCCAUCUAAGGCUAAAUAUUGGCGAGAGACCGAUAGCGAACAAGUACUGUGAAGGAAAGAUGAAAAGCACUUUGAAAAGAGAGUGAAACAGCACGUGAAAUUGUUGAAAGGGAAGGGUAUUGGGCUCGACAUGGGGGGUGCGCACCGCUGUCUCUUGUAGGCGGCGCUCUGGGCGCCCUCUGGGCCAGCAUCGGUUCCUGCUGCGGGAGAAGGGGCUCCGGAAAGUGGCUCUUCGGAGUGUUAUAGCCGGGGCCAGAUGCCGCGUGUGGGGACCGAGGACUGCGGCUUCUGUCUCGGAUGCUGGCAUAACGGCGCAAUACCGCCCGUCUUGAACCACAGGACCAAA
rnacentral:rRNA from 1 species